GUUCCGGUGGCCUAGUGGAUAGAGCGUCCGCCUCGGAUGCGAGAGGUCGUGGAUUUGAUACCCGGUCGAAUCA